rnacentral:rRNA from 1 species
GGAUGCGAUCAUACCAGCACUAGAGCAUCGGAUCCCAUCAGAACUCCGAAGUUAAGCGUGCUUGGGCGAGAGUAGUACUAGGAUGGGUGACCUCCUGGGAAGUCCUCGUGUUGCAUUCC